CCAAAGUGGAAAAGUAAAGGUUUUUACAAUAUCAAUUAGUUAUUUUUCCAUUAAUUAAUUUUUAGAAAAUUACAAAAAUUUCUGUAGUUUUGGAUGUUUUGAUUUCACGAUUAAAGUUGGCUAGUAUUCUUUGCCUGGAUUGCAUGAUAAACAUAUUCCUCCCGUAUAAACAAAUAAUAAAUGAGGAAUUUCCCAAACAAAUGGCUUUAAAUAAUUUCAAUAUUUUGUGGGAAUACGAACCAAUUGGAAUAUUUGUGGACUAGGAGUUAAAUGUUCCUUUGCAAGUUUGUAAUUAUAUAAAAGCUAUUGCUUCAUUUGGCAUUUGACAUUUUGGGUGGUCCAAUAUUUCUCACAGCUCAGCAGGUGACUUAUGCAGAAAUGGUAACUGGACGUAAAUCCAUCAAUCGGGCGCCUAUUAUUCGUGGCUGCAGACAAUGGAUUGACGCAACAACAAACAACACAUCAUCAACACUGGACUCAUCAGCCACCACAUCACAAUACUCCUACCAGCUAUCAUGAGAUAUCGACACACCACCCAGCCAGUGUAACAAAAGAAAUAGUCAAUUGGGCCUGUAACCCGUCGCCGAUUAAUCCAUGCCCAAUUCCAAGGAACCACUAGAGACAAUAAACAAAAUAAAAAUCA